GACGAACGCUGGCGGCGUGCUUAACACAUGCAAGUCGAACGGUGAAGCCCUUCGGGGUGUAUCAGUGGCGAACGGGUGAGUAACACGUGAGCAACCUGCCCCUGUCCCUGUGACAACCACUUGACUCGGUGGCUACUACGCGAUACGCCCCGCCUCUACAUCGCGUGUUGGUUGAAAGUUUUUCGGCUGGUGAUGGGUUCGCUGCCUAUCAGCUCGUUGGUGAGUUGCAGGUUCACCAAGUCGAAGACGGGUAGCCGGCCUGAGAGGGGGACCGGCGACACGGGGACUGAGAGACGGACCAGAAUCGUACGGGAGGCAGCAGUGGGGAAUAUUGCAGAAUGGGCGAAAGCCUGAUGCAGCGACGCCGCGUGAGGGAUGACGGCCUUCGGGUUGUAAACCUAUGUCAGCUCAGAAGAAGAGAAAGUGACGGUAGGAGCAGAAGAAGCAACGGCUAACUACGUG
rnacentral:rRNA from 1 species